rnacentral:rRNA from 1 species
UUUAAAGUCGGGCCUGCCCUAUGAAAUUUAAAUGGCUGCAGUAUAUUGACUGUACAAAGGUAGCAUAAUCAUUAGUUUUUUAAUUGAAAACUUGUAUGAAAGGCUUGAUGAGAAAAUUACUGUCUCAGUUUUAAUUUAUUAAAAUUUUAUUUUUAAUUUAAAAAGAUUAAAUUUUAUAAAAAGACGAGAAGACCCUAUAGAGUUUAAUUGUAAAUUAAAUAUUGAUUUAUAGAUUUUUUUACUUUAUUUUAUUAAGCAAUUUUAUUGGGGUGAUAUAAAAAUUUAGUUAACUUUUUAAUAUUAAUACAUUUAUUUAUGAAUUAUUUGAUCAUAGUUUAGGAUUAAAAGAAAAAAUUACCUUAGGGAUAACAGCGUAAUUUAUUUUUAAAGUUCUAAUUGAAAAAUAA